rnacentral:rRNA from 1 species
AAUCAACUGCUGGCGGCGUGCCUAACACAUGCAAGUCGAACGCGAAAACCCCGCAAGGGGUUAGUAGAGUGGCGAACGGGUGAGUAACACGUGGGUGACCUACCUUCGAAUGGGGGAUAACGUCCCGAAAGGGACGCUAAUACCGCAUAACAUCCUGCUUUUGAACAGGUGGAGAUCAAAGCCGGGGCUCGCAAGACCCGGCGUUUNAAGAGGGGCCCGCGUCUGAUUAGCUAGUUGGUGAGGUAACGGCUCACCAAGGCGACGAUCAGUAUCCGGCCUGAGAGGGCGGACGGACACACUGGGACUGAGACACGGCCCAGACUCCUACGGGAGGCAGCAGUGGGGAAUUGUUCGCAAUGGGCGCAAGCCUGACGACGCAACGCCGCGUGGAGGAUGAAGGUCUUCGGAUUGUAAACUCCUGUUGCUCGGGACGAAAAGCUUCGACCUAACACGUCGAGGUCUGACGGUACCGGGUGAGGAAGCCCCGGCUAACUCUGUGCCAGCAGCCGCGGUAAUACAGAGGGGGCAAGCGUUGUUCGGAAUUACUGGGCGUAAAGGGCGCGUAGGCGGCCUUCUAAGUCGAACGUGAAAU